GGCGGCGUGCCUAAUACAUGCAAGUCGAGCGUCCUGGAUUAAGAGCUUGCUCUUAUGAAGUUAGCGGCGGACGGGUGAGUAACACGUGGGUAACCUGCCCAUAAGACUGGGAUAACUCCGGGAAACCGGGGCUAAUACCGGAUAACAUUUUGAACCGCAUGGUUCGAAAUUGAAAGGCGGCUUCGGCUGUCACUUAUGGAUGGACCCGCGUCGCAUUAGCUAGUUGGUGAGGUAACGGCUCACCAAGGCAACGAUGCGUAGCCGACCUGAGAGGGUGAUCGGCCACACUGGGACUGAGACACGGCCCAGACUCCUACGGGAGGCAGCAGUAGGGAAUCUUCCGCAAUGGACGAAAGUCUGACGGAGCAACGCCGCGUGAGUGAUGAAGGCUUUCGGGUCGUAAAACUCUGUUGUUAGGGAAGAACAAGUGCUAGUUGAAUAAGCUGGCACCUUGACGGUACCUAACCAGAAAGCCACGGCUAACUACGUGCCAGCAGCCGCGGUAAUACGUAGGUGGCAAGCGUUAUCCGGAAUUAUUGGGCGUAAAGCGCGCGCAGGUGGUUUCUUAAGUCUGAUGUGAAAGCCCACGGCUCAACCGUGGAGGGUCAUUGAAACUGGGAACUUGAUGCAAAAGGAAAGUGGAUUCCAUGUGAACGGGGAAUGCUAAAAUUGGAGAACCCUGGCGAAGGAAU
rnacentral:rRNA from 1 species